CCUCUCAGGAAGAACGGGCAAAGAGACACCUUGGUGGUGGUGGUGGUCUUAUAUCAGUCAGUGGCAGAACAGAUGGCAGACCUUUGUCCAUCCUAGCUGGGUGUCUGGCUUGGUGGCCAAAGCUGUUUUAUACCUAGGAUGCAUAA